GAGAGAAAGACAAGGGGUGGGGAAGAGAGAACACAAGAAUGCACUUUUGAAUUGACGACAUAAUUAGCGGGCGCGCGAAUAUGCCAGGCCUGUUAAAAUUCAUAGGAGUUUGACCACUAUACAGCAAGGAUCAGUGAACUUGAUCAACUGACACUUACCAAGCAGGUCGACACAGUCUAUUGAAGUUUUGUUUGGUAGAAGAAUACAAAUAUUUAUUAAUACACGAAUCGAUACCCGGAUUUGUUGACCUUGUUUUUUGUUAUCAGGCAGUCUCGAUCUGGCUUAGAGACUGCGUUCAAAUGUAAACAGUUAAAAAGCCUACUAAAAGGUGACAAAGUACAUUCUACAAGUAAAGCUAGAUAUCUGAGGAAAUAGUGAGCUAUACCAACACGAACAUGAAGAGUAUUCAUCUUAUCCUAAAUUAUUUCGUUUUGCUGAUUUUAUAUAACCAUUUUGGGACUAAAGCUGCAUCGUUGAACCUCACAAUCCUCCAUACAAAUGAUUGCCACGCUCGCUUUGUGGAAACGGACCAAAAUGGGAGGGUAUGCUCGGCAGAUACCGCCGAGUGUUUCGGCGGGGUCGCCCGGCGGGCUACCGUAGUGAAUGGAGUGAGGGCCGGUAAUCCCGAUGGGCACGUUCUGUUUCUCGAUGCCGGUGACCAGUUUCAGGGGACCGAUUGGUUUUAUACCUACCGUGGAAACGCGACGGCGCACUUUAUGAAUUUAUUAGGAUAUGAUGCUAUGGUUCUUGGUAACCACGAAUUCGACAAUGGAAUAGGCGGAGUGGUCCCCUUUCUGCAGAACGUGACGUUUCCAGUGUUGAGCUGCAAUAUCGACUCCACGAGCGAGCCACGCCUACAUGGCCUCUACGUCUGCAGUCACGUGUUCCAAAUGGACGGGGAAAUGGUGGGCGUGGUUGGCUACACACUCAAGUCUAGUCCCGAAUUUUCAAAGACAGAAUCGCUGGUAUUCAGCGAUGAGAUCCCUGCUGUUCGAGCGAGGGUCGAUGAUCUCAUAGCCAGUGGUGUCAACAAGAUAAUCGCUCUCGGUCAUGCAGGGUUGGAUGUCGACAAGGCCGUGGCCAGGGAAAUCAAAGGCGUCGACAUCGUGGUUGGUGGACACUCCAAUACAUUCUUGUACACGGGUGAACCACCCUCCAACCAAGUGCCUGUUGGAGACUACCCUUACAUCGUGCACCCUGCCCAUGAUAGCCAGGCUUCUGUGCUUGUCCUGUCAGCCUACGCCUAUGGGAAGUACCUGGGACACCUAGAUGUCACCUUCGAUGAUAACGGGACAGUGACAGACUAUGCCGGGAAUCCUGUGCUCCUGGACAGCAGUGUGGACAAAGACCCCACCAUGUUGGCUGCUGUGGAAGCUUGGAAGAUCAAAGUUGACGAAGUCUCCAACACCGUCAUCGGUCACACCGAAAGUAGACUGAACGGUGACCUCGCGACCUGCGGAACGCAGGAGUGUAACCUCGGAAAUGUGAUGGCUGAUGCCAUGCUCUUUGAACAUGGUAUGGACUGGUUUGGCGCUAACAUUGCCAUGACCACCUCUGGCAGCAUCGCUUCAUCCAUAGAGGCAGGCAAUGUUACAACCGGGGAUCUCAUCACUAUAAUGCCAUAUGGAAACACUAUCGACAAAGUUCGUCUCUUGGGGAGAGAUCUCCUCAAAGUCCUGGAGGUAGCAAUGAUGACCUUCGACCCUUCAACCCCAAUCUACAGCUUUCUACAAGUGUCUGGGAUGGUGAUAGAGUAUGACCUGACCAAGGAGAGUGGAAGCCGGGUCUACAGAGCACAGUUCCGCUGUAAGACAUGCACAGACGAUGGCACUAACGUGCUCAUGGACAUUGACCCCGAGGCCCAUUAUGAGGUCAUCACUAACAGCUACAUGGCGGCUGGGGGAGGGGGGUUCGAUGUCAUAGGGGAUAACAAACUGGAUCAUAUAACAGGCAAUGGCGACAUUGAGGUAACUUCAAAUUACAUCACGUCGAACUCCCCUCUGAACCAAGACGUGGAAGGCAGAAUCAUACUCUAUGAUGAAUUCAACAGACCCAAUUCGAGUCCUAACCUCAGGCCGGCUUUUGGACUACUCAUUUCCUUCUUUCUUUUAGCAACAUGUCACAUAUAUUAGCCUUGUGUGUCCAGUCCUUAGACAAAUGAAAAUAAUGUUCAGUUGCAAGUGUUGGACCAUUUCCUAUUUUAAAAUCUACAAAUAUUUAGGGCAUGAGAGUCUCCUGGGCCCCAUUGCAUAAAAGUUACCAUUACGGUAACUUGGCUGUCCAAUGGUAUCUUUCAUGUAAUCCUUGAUUUUGAUUGGCUGAUGAGCAUUGUUUCCGUGGUAGUUACCAUUGGAUGGCAAAGUUACCAUAAUAGUAACUUUUAUGCAAAGGGGCACAGGAAAAAAAGCUACAUGUAAGGGAGAAAAAUUCUGUACCAGCAAGAUAGUUUUUACCAUUGCUCAUUUCAAAUACCUACCUUUUGCAAUCCACUAGUAGGUACUAUGCAGGCCGGCGGCUAUUUUGUACAGUUUGGGCCUUGGGGAGUCGCACGCUCUCAUACCCAGUGUAUUUCUUUUGGUGUAAAAAUUCAUCCCGGGUCAUUUUCAAACCUGCCUUAGGCUACAUGGUUCCUUUUCUUUGACCAUUUUAUUUAGAGUCUGAAUUUUUCAACACGAAAAAAGUCUUAUUUUAUGUAAAUAAUGUAGUCUUUUACAAUGAAAUUCAAGCAAGCUGUAUAGGAAACAAUAGUGAAAAUAGAUCAGUAAUGACAAGCGAAAAUGAAACAAGGAUAACACUGAAAAUUUCAUACAAAUUAGAAGUAAAACAAAAAAAAAGGAAAUUUAUGGCAUUUUUAAUUUUUGGUUAUUUUUCACAAUACAAUGAUACAAUGGUAGCCUUGUGGUGUAGCCGUUCAGACUCUCACCUCAAGUCCUUUGGCAAGGUGUCAAUUUUCACUUUGCCAAUCUCCAUCCAGGCGUUACAUAUAUAAUGGGUACCCAGUAGGAUGCGGAAGCUUAUGUAGUAUGCCUAGCAAUUGAGUAUGGGAAAUCUUGUUGUACUGCUCUCUCAUAUGUCGAGAAAGUGCAAAAAUCCUUUAAGGGCAUUCCAUUUCGAUGACCGUGGUUACAAGAUAUAUGUUUUUGUUAAGAGACACCAAUCCGAUGUAUAAAGCGCAAUAUAAAAGUGGAAUAUUAUCAUAAAUGAUUGGUAAAUGAGUUGAUAACGUCAAUAACUCACUACUUUAGGGGCACGGUACUAUUAAUUUACGAAUUGCCAAUAAGGAAACUUUAUUAAAUCAAGUUACAACUGCAAUUGCAUGUGGAACUUGGGCAAAGAAAUAGUGAGAGAAAUUACAAAAAGAAAUAGUGAGAGGCUUUAUAUAUCGACAAGGAUGUGGGUAUUAGGCCCUACUACUUAUCUUUUUUAACAUCCGAUUUUGAUGCAACUUUAAGUUCAAACCUUGUUUGAUUAUUCUCAUUUUUAAUUCAAAAUCAAAUUUUGGUUGUAGUGGACUUACCCUAUAAAAAGAACUGUGUUCAUUCCUUCAAUAAUAAAAGGGAUUGUACAUGUAUACUCAAGGCCUAUCCCAGCACGCAACAUUGGUACUGGUCCGAUGGUCCCAGAACGGUAAAAAUUGCUGUUGGGCCAGUAAUUUUUUAAGAAAUAAAUAUACUGGUCCGACAUGACCAGUACACAAAUAUUUCAAACUGAUACAAAUGAUAUUUCUUACCUCUUUGUAAUUUAUCAAAAAGACUCCAAAGUUGAGAAAUUGUUCUCCUGAAUUAUGUCGUGUGUGUACUUUGCCCAAGUUUUUUUGUUUUUUGUAAGGGGGGGGGGGGAUAACAAUAAGCACCAGAAAACGGCAAAAUAAACUUGAGUCUUUUAUGUUUUUCUCUAUUUGGGGGACCAGUAAAAUUUAGGUUCAGACCAGUAAAACAUGGAAAAUGUACUGGUCCGACAUGAACAGGUUGAACCAGUAGAAAAAAGGGUUGGUUUCACUGAGCAAUUCAAAUUUGGCUGGAUGAGCUAAAAAUUAUCUAUGAAAUCAAUGUACAUGUAAAUAAACACACAUACUUUUAUGUUUUGUAAAGGAAUAUUAAAAGUACUUUCUACA